rnacentral:rRNA from 1 species
AACGAACGCUGGCGGCAGGCUUAACACAUGCAAGUCGAGCGCCCCGCAAGGGGAGCGGCAGACGGGUGAGUAACGCGUGGGAAUCUACCCAUCUUUACGGAAUAACGCAUGGAAACGUGUGCUAAUACCGUAUACGUCCUUCGGGAGAAAGAUUUAUCGGAGAUGGAUGAGCCCGCGUUGGAUUAGCUAGUUGGUGGGGUAAAGGCCUGCCAAGGCGACGAUCCAUAGCUGGUCUGAGAGGAUGAUCAGCCACACUGGGACUGAGACACGGCCCAGACUCCUACGGGAGGCAGCAGUGGGGAAUAUUGGACAAUGGGCGCAAGCCUGAUCCAGCCAUGCCGCGUGAGUGAUGAAGGCCCUAGGGUUGUAAAGCUCUUUCACCGGUGAAGAUAAUGACGGUAACCGGAGAAGAAGCCCCGGCUAACCUCGUGCCAGCAGCCGCGGUAACAC